CCCACCCCCAGGCAUUGCAGAUGUGGCUGCUGUGUCACAUGUGCAUCAGUAGGUGGCAGAGAGGACAGAGGCUAUGUCUUCACUUAGUGUUCUGACCUAUACACAUCUGAACAAUUAGUAGCCUAAUAUU
ensembl:snoRNA LOC120100424 small nucleolar RNA SNORA17